rnacentral:rRNA from 1 species
UACGUAGGUGGCAAGCGUUGUCCGGAUUUACUGGGCGUAAAGGGCGUGCAGGCGGCCCGUUAAGUGCAUGGUGAAAGCUCCCGGCUCAACUGGGAGAGGUCUGUGUAUACUGUCGGGCUUGAGUACGGAAGAGGCGAGUGGAAUUCCUGGUGUAGCGGUGAAAUGCGCAGAUAUCAGGAGGAACACCAAUUGCGAAGGCAGCUCGCUGGGACGGUAUUGACGCUAAGGCGCGAAAGCGUGGGGAGCAAACAGG